rnacentral:rRNA from 1 species
CCUACGGGUGGCAGCAGUGAGGAAUAUUGGUCAAUGGACGAGAGUCUGAACCAGCCAAGUAGCGUGAAGGAUGACUGCCCUAUGGGUUGUAAACUUCUUUUAUAUGGGAAUAAAAUGUUCCACGUGUGGGAUUUUGUAUGUACCAUAUGAAUAAGGAUCGGCUAACUCCGUGCCAGCAGCCGCGGUAAUACGGAGGAUCCGAGCGUUAGCCGGAUUUAUUGGGUUUAAAGGGAGCGUAGGUGGAUUGUUAAGUCAGUUGUGAAAGUUUGCGGCGCAACCGUAAAAGUGCAGUUGAAACUGGCAGUCUUGAGUACAGUAGAGGUGGGCGGAAUUCGUGGUGUAGCGGUGAAAUGCUUAGAUAGCACGAAGAACUCCGAUUGCGAAGGCAGUUCACUGGACUGCAACUGACACUGAGGCUCGAAAGUGUGGGUAUCAAACAGGAUUAGAUACCCUAGUAGUC